UGCAAGGCAAGUAUAUUAAACUAAUAUCUACUAAUACCUAACAUAUUAAUAACAAUAAUAAAAUGUUAAAAGUCCUUAAUUAACUGUACAGGCCAUAGAAUAACAUAGAAUAAUCCUUGGAUAAGGAUUAUAAGCAUCAGAGAAAUAAUUAACAUUUGUUCCUGAGGGCCAAAUGCUGAUUUUUAAAUUUGGUUAUAUGAAGAUGCACAAGCAGCUGGAUAAUAGCAGACCAAUAAUUGAGGCUAUAAGAUUGCCCUUGCACAACAUAGAAAAUGCAUUAGCUUUUAUUCUGAUAAGCUUGGCAUGUGUGACCAUAUCACUCACUCCUCAGAAGACUUUCUUUAUAGGAUUAAGGACAUAUCCCCAUCCAGCAAUCAUAUCAUAACAGUUCUGGAUUUUCAGAAAUUGUAUCCUUUGAUUAAACUUCUGCUGGUUUGCUUGGCCUUACAUAGGUUUUUAUCUCAUGCCUUUUGGUAGUCCUGCAGUGGAACUAUCUGUGUUGAGCAAUCUUUAUGAACUUAUUUAUUAUAAUUCAUUUUUCUGUUUUGAAGGGAAAUUCUACGUGGUAGGAUCCAAAAGCUCGGGGACUAUGGUCACCCAUGACAACCAAAGUAUGUAGUUUAAGUAAUACCGUUUGAAAUGCAUU
rnacentral:lncRNA from 1 species